rnacentral:rRNA from 1 species
GACGUAGGGGACGAGCGUUGUCCGGAUUCAUUGGGCGUAAAGAGCUCGUAGGCGGCUCGUUGCGUCGGCUGUGAAAACCCGCAGCUCAACUGUGGGCUUGCAGCUGAUACGGGCGGGCUGGAGUUCGGUAGGGGAGACUGGAAUUCCUGGUGUAGCGGUGAAAUGCGCCAGAUAUCAGGAGGAACACCGGUGGCGAAGGCGGGUCUCUGGGCCGAUACUGACGCUGAGACGCGAAAGCGUGGGGAGCGAACAGG